AUGGAUAUCCUCGUCUCUGCAAUCGUGGGUGACCUCAUCAGCAGGUCUGCAUCGUUCGUGAUCAGCAAAUACUUCCAGCAGCAGCCUGACAUCAACAAGAUUCAACAGAGGCUACAGAGAGUCCUGCUGAGAAUCGACAUCAUCGUCGAGGAGGCCGAGGCGCGGGACAUCACCAACCAGGGGAUGCUCCGUCAGCUCAAGAUGUUGAAGCAAGGAAUGUACAGAGGCCGCUACGUUCUUGAUUCCUUGAGAUUCCAAGCUGCCCUCGACGAGGAGGAGGUAAGCCACUCAUCAUCAUCUGCGCUGUCUAAAUCCAGUUCAGCCAAACGGCUCCGUUUCUCUUGGGCCGGCGGUGGCAGCAGCAACAGAGAAGCGCUGUCGUUUGGCACAAACGGCAACAUACGAGAAGAGCUGCAACGGAUGGUUGAUACCCUUGAAUUCACUGUAGCUGGUACGAGGGAGUUUCUUUUCUUCUUGGAGUCAUAUCCUCGGAUCCUCCGCCAACCUUAUGGCACAUAUUUGCUAUUGGACAACUGCAUGUUUGGUCGCCAAACAGAACAAGAUCGGGUUCUGAAUUUCUUGCUUCAUCCUGGCGCUACUUCAGGCUUGGCUGCUGUACUUCCAAUUGUUGGGCCAAUAAGAGUAGGGAAGAGCACUCUUGUUGAGUAUAUCUGUAGGGAUGGGAGUGUGCGUGAUCACUUCUCAAUGAUCUUGUUCUUUCCACAAGGUAGUCUUAAGGAUGAAGGAGUGGUCAGACAUCAAAAUUCUGCUUCUCAAACCAGGUUGCUGAUUAUUGUUGAAAUGGCUGAGGACAUUAUUAAUGAAGGAACAUGGAGAAGGUUGAAAUCUUUGGCAACCAGCAUGACACCGCGCGGUGGGACCAAAUCAUAA
rnacentral:rRNA from 1 species